CCCUUAGAUGUUCUGGGCCGCACGCGUGCUACACUGACCGGCGCAACAAGUUUCUUUCCUUGGCUCGAUAGGCCUGGGUAAUCUUUGAACGCCGGUCGUGAUGGGGAUAGAUCCUUGCAAUUUUUGAUCUUCAACGAGGAAUUCCUAGUAAAUGCGAGUCAUCAUCUCGCGUUGAUUACGUCCCUGCCCUUUGUACACACCGCCCGUCGCACCUACCGAUUGAAUGGUCCGGUGAAAUCUCGGGACGGCGGCUUGGUCGCUUGCGUCCGACUGCUGAAACUUGAUUAAACCAUAUCAUUUAGAGGAAGGUGAAGUCGUAACA
rnacentral:rRNA from 1 species